ACACUCCUACGGGAGGCAGCAGUGGGGAAUAUUGGACAAUGGGCGCAAGCCUGAUCCAGCCAUACCGCGUGAGUGAUGAAGGCCCUCGGGUUGUAAAGCUCUUUCACCGGUGAAGAUAAUGACGGUAACCGGAGAAGAAGCCCCGGCUAACUUCGUGCCAGCAGCCGCGGUAAUACGAAGGGGGCUAGCGUUGUUCGGAUUUACUGGGCGUAAAGCGCACGUAGGCGGACUAUUAAGUCAGGGGUGAAAUCCCGGGGCUCAACCCCGGAACUGCCUUUGAUACUGGUAGUCUUGAGUUCGAGAGAGGUGAGUGGAAUUCCGAGUGUAGAGGUGAAAUUCGUAGAUAUUCGGAGGAACACCAGUGGCGAAGGCGGCUCACUGGCUCGAUACUGACGCUGAGGUGCGAAAGCGUGGGGAGCAAACAGGAUUAGAAACCCUGGUAGUCCCAUGAU
rnacentral:rRNA from 1 species